CGCGGUGAAUACGUUCCCGGACCUUGUACACACCGCCCGUCAAGCCAUGGAAGUCGGGUGUACCUAAAGUCGGUAACCACAAGGAGCCGCCUAGGGUAAAAUCGAUAACUGGGGCU
rnacentral:rRNA from 1 species